UACGUAGGGUGCAAGCGUUAAUCGGAAUUACUGGGCGUAAAGCGUGCGCAGGCGGUUAUAUAAGACAGUUGUGAAAUCCCCGGGCUCAACCUGGGAACUGCAUCUGUGACUGUAUAGCUAGAGUACGGUAGAGGGGGAUGGAAUUCCGCGUGUAGCAGUGAAAUGCGUAGAUAUGCGGAGGAACACCGAUGGCGAAGGCAGCCCCCUGGGUCAAGAUUGACGCUCAUGCACGAAAGCGUGGGGAGCAAACAGG
rnacentral:rRNA from 1 species